GUGUUGGAUAUGGUGGUAAACGAGGAAAAGGUAAUGGAGGCAAAGUAGGCCAAGGGAAACCAUAUGGUGGGAAGUAAGGGAGAAAGAACUUUGAAGAAUUGAAGGAACUUGGCAACUCUUGUCUGUGAUUUCCACACAAGGAACAUCACAGCCAGAAGAUGAGCUCUUUAUUAAACUUGCAUGGCAUAAAGAUUCAAUUGCUGAACCAUCCACACAAUCGACCCCUUCAACUUGUGGUAUUUCCAGCUUGUAUAUCCCAUAUCUAUCUGUUGUUCGAUUAACUGAGAAGUUUAUCUGCUCUGCUGUUUUAGGUGAGUUUGCUUUGAAUGAGCAUUGUAUAUGAACAUCCACACCUGAAAUCAAUAACAGUUAAAAGAAUUCAGAGAUUUAUAUACAUGCAGCUACCUGGAAGACGUCCAUAUCAAACAAACAACCAUUAACCAUGGAUCAUAGACUCAAACAUUUACCGUUAGGCUAAUCCACAUGGGUUAUUACUUUCAGAAUUGAAAUUGAAUAACAAGAAAUGUGAAGAGUUGUUUACCUGGCAAGAAGUAGCUGUGUCUAGAGAAAGAAUUAGUGGAGCAGGUAUCACAAUAAACAACACCAACAACACUGAUUCUGGAGGUGGGAUUUACUGGUUGGGCAAGGAAAGAAAAUGGGUGAGCAAAAAAAGUUGCAAGAAAAAGAAGAAGAAGAAUGAUUGGAGUCAUGGAAGCAAACAUAGGAGAAGUAGGGAGAAGCUUCUACAAAAGCAUCAUCUGUAGUUUUGGUUGGUACUUGACUGCUUGGUGGUACUGUAUACGAGUGCAUAUGUUAGGAUUAUAUUAUUGUAGAGUACAAUAGAUCUUGAAUUGAGCAUAUAAUGAGCCCGUGAGUAGUUGGUAUUAGGACCAACUGUAACCAGGGUGCAGAAAAAUGCUUUAUCUAUUCACUACAAACAAAGACAUGUGAAGAAGCCUUUUGGAAGGUUGUGAAGAGAAAGAGCAUGCAACUCUGUAGAAGAUUGACAAGCGGUGGGGGUUUGAUUUGGAGGCUCUAUAAUUUUAAUUUUUCUGAGGUCCAAGAAAUGAAAAGGACAAGAUAGCUUGAUGGGGAAGAUUGGAAUUACUUGAUGUUCUGUACAAUUGAAUUUGAUGGCUGGUUUGCUUGCUAUCUGGCCCAUUAUUGAUGAGUGUUCCCUCAACACAUGUGGCUACAUUUUCAGCAAUUUAUGGCUACUAGUUGACAGUCACAAGGCUAUUCUUUAUCA